AUUGAACGCUGGCGGCAGGCCUAACACAUGCAAGUCGAACGGUAACAGGAAGCAGCUUGCUGCUUCGCUUACGCGUGGCGGACGGGUGAGUAAUGUCUGUGAAGCUGCCUGAUGGAGGGGGAUAACUACUGGAAACGGUACCUAAUACCGCAUAAUGUCGCAAGACCAAAGAGGGGGACCUUCGGGCCUCUUGCCAUCGGCUGUGCCCAGAUGGGAUUAGCUUGUUGGUGGGGUAACGGCUUACCAAGGCGACGAUCCCUAGCUGGUCUGAGAGGAUGACCAGCCACACUGGAACUGAGACACGGUCCAGACUCCUACGGGAGGCAGCAGUGGGGAAUAUUGCGCAAUGGGCGAAAGCCUGAUGCAGCAAUGCCGCGUGUAUGAAGAAGGCCUUCGGGUUGUAAAGCACUUUUAGCGGGGAGGAAGAGAGUAAAGUUUAUACCUUUGCACAUUGACGGUACCCGAAGAAGAAGCACCGGCUAACUACGUG
rnacentral:rRNA from 1 species